UACAGAGGUCUCAAGCGUUGUUCGGAUUCAUUGGGCGUAAAGGGUGCGUAGGCGGCGCGGUAAGUCGGGUGUGAAAUCUCGGAGCUUAACUCCGAAACUGCAUUCGAUACUGCCGUGCUUGAGGACUGGAGAGGAGACUGGAAUUUACGGUGUAGCGGUGAAAUGCGUAGAUAUCGUAAGGAAGACCAGUGGCGAAGGCGGGUCUCUGGACAGUUCCUGACGCUGAGGCACGAAGGUCGGGGAGCAAACGGG
rnacentral:rRNA from 1 species